CCUACGGGUGACAGCAGUGAGGAAUAUUGGUCAAUGGACGCAAGUCUGAACCAGCCAUGCCGCGUGCAGGAAGACGGCUCUAUGAGUUGUAAACUGCUUUUGUACGAGGGUAAACGCAGAUACGCGUAUCUGUCUGAAAGUAUCGUACGAAUAAGGAUCGGCUAACUCCGUGCCAGCAGCCGCGGUAAUACGGAGGAUUCAAGCGUUAUCCGGAUUUAUUGGGUUUAAGGGGUGCGUAGGCGGUCGGGUAAGUUAGCGGGGAAAUCCCGAGGCGCAACUCCGGAAUUGCCUCUGAUCCGGGUCGGGUAGAGAGUAGGUGCGGUAGGCGGAAGGUAUGGUGUAGCGGUGAAAUGCUUAGAGAUCAGACAGAGCACCGAUGGCGAGGGCAGCUUACCAAGCUACUUCUGACGUUGAGGCACGAAAGCGUGGGGAGCAAACAGGAUUAGAUACCCCUGUAGUC
rnacentral:rRNA from 1 species